UACGUAGGGUGCAAGCGUUAAUCGGAAUUACUGGGCGUAAAGCGCACGUAGGCGGCUUUGUAAGUUAGAGGUGAAAGCCCGGGGCUCAACCCCGGAAUAGCCUUUGAGACUGGAUUGCUAGAAUCCGGGAGAGGUGAGUGGAAUUCCGAGUGUAGAGGUGAAAUUCGUAGAUAUUCGGAAGAACACCAGUGGCGAAGGCGGCUCACUGGACCGGCAUUGACGCUGAGGUGCGAAAGCGUGGGGAGCAAACAGGAUUAGAUA
rnacentral:rRNA from 1 species